rnacentral:tRNA from 1 species
GUGACUCAGUGGUAGAGUGCUUGCCUUGCAUGCAGGAGGACCUAGGUUCGAUUCCUCAGC